rnacentral:rRNA from 1 species
GACGAACGCUGGCGGCGUGCCUAACACAUGCAAGCCGAACGGGGCCCGCAAGGGUUCAGUGGCGAACGGGUGCGUAACACGUGAAGAAUUUGUCCAUCGGCGGGGGAUAGCCGGCCCAACGGCCGGGUAAUACCGCGUACGACCUCGUAGGCGAUCUCUGAUGUGAAGACGCAAGGACGCCGACUGGAGAACGUUACGUCGGCCGUACUCAGCUAGUU